rnacentral:rRNA from 1 species
GAUGAACGCUGGCGGCGUGCCUAAUACAUGCAAGUCGAGCGAACAGACGCGGAGCUUGCUCCUCUGACGUUAGCGGCGGACGGGUGAGUAACACGUGGAUAACCUACCUAUAAGACUUGGAUAACUUCGUGAAACCGGAGCUAAUACCGGAUAAUAUAUUGAACCGCAUGUUUCAAUAGUGAACGACGGUUUUGCUGUCACUUAUAGAUGGAUCCGCGCCGCAUUAGCUAGUUGGUAAGGUAACGGCUUACCAAGGCAACGAUGCGUAGCCGACCUGAGAGGGUGAUCGGCCACACUGGAACUGAGACACGGUCCAGACUCCUACGGGAGGCAGCAGUAGGGAAUCUUCCGCAAAGGGCGAAAGCCUGAAGGAGCAACGCCGCGUGAGAGAUGAAGGUCUUCGGAUCGUAAAACUCUGUUAUUAGGGAAGAAAAAAUGUGUAAGUAACUAUGCACGUCUUGACGGUACCUAAUCAGAAAGCCACGGCUAACUACGUG